CGGACGGGGGAGUAAUGUCUGGGAAACUGCCCGAUGAGGGGGAGUAACUACUGGAAACGGUAGCUAAUACCGCAUAACGUCGCAAGACCAAAGAGGGGGACCUUCGGGCCUCUUGCCAUCGGAUGUGCCCAGAUGGGAUUAGCUAGUAGGUGGGGUAACGGCUCACCUAGGCGACGAUCCCUAGCUGGUCUGAGAGGAUGACCAGCCACACUGGAACUGAGACACGGUCCAG
rnacentral:rRNA from 1 species